UGCAACACCACACAGGUAGAAUAGCUGAAAUUUGUCAUUUAGUAUAGUUACGAUUAUUUAUUAAAUCUUUCUCAAUUUGAAUUAAAGUCGUGAUGCACAGCUAAUUGCAUAAUGGUCAGUGGAGCGAUUUCGUUGGCCACAACCUGUGAUUAGACCAAUUUGAGCUUUAAUCCACAGUAAUAGAGUUUGUUUUAGCCUGGGAAUAAAGGCAUAUUUAAUAGAAUAUGCUAAGAGGAUUACGUAUUUUGUUUUGGUUUAACAUUGUUUUGAAACGAUGUUUGGUUAAAAUGAAAUAAACAAUAAUAAUAUGAUUGUAAUGCACUACGGAAACUUUGUAAAAAAAAAAUCGUAAAAAUUUGUAUUUUUGUGCAAUGAUUAGUUGAACCUCUGUUUAUCUGAAAUAAUAUAAGUAAUAUGUUUUA